GCGGAUAUGGUGGAACUGGUAGACACGCUGUCUUGAGGGGGCAGUGGCGCAAGCCGUGUGAGUUCGAGUCUCACUAUCCGCACCA
rnacentral:tRNA from 1 species